rnacentral:ncRNA from 2 species
AUCGUUCAUCUCCUCUGAUAUUGACCGGGUGCAUUCCCCCUCAGGCACCCCAGUUAGGAGACGGAAGUAGGGACACUCCCGAAGGAACGCGCC